AUUGAACGCUGGCGGCAUGCUUUACACAUGCAAGUCGAACGGCAGCGGGGAGGAGCUUGCUUCUCUGCCGGCGAGUGGCGAACGGGUGAGUAAUACAUCGAACGUGUCGAGAAGAGGGGGAUAACCACCCGAAAGGGUGGCUAAUACCGCAUAAAUUCUGAGGAAGAAAGCUGGGGACCUAGGAAUAGGCCUAGCGCUUUUUGAGCGGCCGAUGUCGGAUUAGCUAGUUGGUGAGGUAAAGGCUCACCAAGGCGAAGAUCUGUAGCGGGUCUGAGAGGAUGAUCCGCCACACUGGGACUGAGACACGGCCCAGACUCCUACGGGAGGCAGCAGUGGGGAAUUUUGGACAAUGGGGGCAACCCUGAUCCAGCCAUGCCGCGUGUAUGAAGAAGGCCUUAGGGUUGUAAAGUACUUUUGUUAGGGAAGAAAAGUCAGCUGUGAAUAAUGGCUGAUACUGACGGUACCUAAAGAAUAAGCACCGGCUAACUACGUG
rnacentral:rRNA from 1 species